UCUUCCUGGUGCAACUCCCGUGUGGUCCUGUGUAGCAGCCUUCUCUCCUUUGGAGAAGGCUUCUCUAAAAUGCAAAUUUGCUGAUGUGAAUGGUAAACUCAUGUGAGAGGAAAUGGUUCACUGGCAUUCUUUCACUCUGGAGCACAGUUCUGAGACAGGGCCCAUAGAUUCAAGAAAGCAAAAUGGGAUAAGGAUACAAGAGGAAAUGGUGUGAGCCCAAGAAAUUACUAGGAUUCCUUCUUCCUAUUCCAGGUA